UUCCUACGGGAGGCAGCAGUGGGGAAUCUUCCGCAAUGGGCGAAAGCCUGACGGAGCAACGCCGCGUGAGUGAUGAAGGUCUUCGGAUCGUAAAACUCUGUUAUUAGGGAAGAACAAAUGUGUAAGUAACUAUGCACGUCUUGACGGUACCUAAUCAGAAAGCCACGGCUAACUACGUGCCAGCAGCCGCGGUAAUA
rnacentral:rRNA from 1 species